GAGUUUGAUCUUGGCUCAGAGUGAACGCUGGCGGUAGGCCUAACACAUGCAAGUCGAACGGCAGCACAGUAAGAGCUUGCUCUUAUGGGUGGCGAGUGGCGGACGGGUGAGGAAUACAUCGGAAUCUACUUUUUCGUGGGGGAUAACGUAGGGAAACUUACGCUAAUACCGCAUACGACCUACGGGUGAAAGCAGGGGAUCUUCGGACCUUGCGCGAUUGAAUGAGCCGAUGUCGGAUUAGCUAGUUGGGCGGGGUAAAGGCCCACCAAGGCGACGAUCCGUAGCUGGUCUGAGAGGAUGAUCAGCCACACUGGAACUGAGACACGGUCCAGACUCCUACGGGAGGCAGCAGGUGGGAAUAUUGGACAAUGGGCGCAAGCCUGAUCCAGCCAUACCGCGUGGGUGAAGAAGGCC
rnacentral:rRNA from 1 species